GACGAACGCUGGCGGCGUGCCUAAUACAUGCAAGUCGAACGAACUCUGGUAUUGAUUGGUGCUUGCAUCAUGAUUUGCAUUUGAGUGAGUGGCGAACUGGUGAGUAACACGUGGGAAACCUGCCCAGAAGCGGGGGAUAACACCUGGAAACAGAUGCUAAUACCGCAUAACAACUUGGACCGCAUGGUCCGAGUUUGAAAGAUGGCUUCGGCUAUCACUUUUGGAUGGUCCCGCGGCGUAUUAGCUAGAUGGUGGGGUAACGGCUCACCAUGGCAAUGAUACGUAGCCGACCUGAGAGGGUAAUCGGCCACAUUGGGACUGAGACACGGCCCAAACUCCUACGGGAGGCAGCAGUAGGGAAUCUUCCACAAUGGACGAAAGUCUGAUGGAGCAACGCCGCGUGAGUGAAGAAGGGUUUCGGCUCGUAAAACUCUGUUGUUAAAGAAGAACAUAUCUGAGAGUAACUGUUCAGGUAUUGACGGUAUUUAACCAGAAAGCCACGGCUAACUACGUGCCAGCAGCCGCGGUAAUACGUAGGUGGCAAGCGUUGUCCGGAUUUAUUGGGCGUAAAGCGAGCGCAGGCGGUUUUUUAAGUCUGAUGUGAAAGCCUUCGGCUCAACCGAAGAAGUGCAUCGGAAACUGGGAAACUUGAGUGCAGAAGAGGACAGUGGAACUCCAUGUGUAGCGGUGAAAUGCGUAGAUAUAUGGAAGAACACCAGUGGCGAAGGCGGCUGUCUGGUCUGUAACUGACGCUGAGGCUCGAAAGUAUGGGUAGCAAACAGGAUUAGAUACCCUGGUAGUCCAUACCGUAAACGAUGAAUGCUAAGUGUUGGAGGGUUUCCGCCCUUCAGUGCUGCAGCUAACGCAUUAAGCAUUCCGCCUGGGGAGUACGGCCGCAAGGCUGAAACUCAAAGGAAUUGACGGGGGCCCGCACAAGCGGUGGAGCAUGUGGUUUAAUUCGAAGCUACGCGAAGAACCUUACCAGGUCUUGACAUACUAUGCAAAUCUAAGAGAUUAGACGUUCCCUUCGGGGACAUGGAUACAGGUGGUGCAUGGUUGUCGUCAGCUCGUGUCGUGAGAUGUUGGGUUAAGUCCCGCAACGAGCGCAACCCUUAUUAUCAGUUGCCAGCAUUAAGUUGGGCACUCUGGUGAGACUGCCGGUGACAAACCGGAGGAAGGUGGGGAUGACGUCAAAUCAUCAUGCCCCUUAUGACCUGGGCUACACACGUGCUACAAUGGAUGGUACAACGAGUUGCGAACUCGCGAGAGUAAGCUAAUCUCUUAAAGCCAUUCUCAGUUCGGAUUGUAGGCUGCAACUCGCCUACAUGAAGUCGGAAUCGCUAGUAAUCGCGGAUCAGCAUGCUGCGGUGAAUACGUUCCCGGGCCUUGUACACACCGCCCGUCACACCAUGAGAGUUUGUAACACCCAAAGUCGGUGGGGUAACCUUUUAGGAACCAGCCGCCUAAGGUGGGACAGAUGAUUAGGGUGAAG
rnacentral:rRNA from 1 species